AGUGAACGCUGGCGGUAGGCCUAACACAUGCAAGUCGAACGGCAGCACAGUAAGAGCUUGCUCUUACGGGUGGCGAGUGGUGGACGGGUGAGGAAUACAUCGGAAUCUACUUUUUCGUGGGGGAUAACGUAGGGAAACUUACGCUAAUACCGCAUACGACCUACGGGUGAAAGCAGGGGAUCUUCGGACCUUGCGCGAUUGAAUGAGCCGAAGUCGGAUUAGCUAGUUGGCGGGGUAAAGGCCCACCAAGGCGACGAUCCGUAGCUGGUCUGAGAGGAUGAUCAGCCACACUGGAACUGAGACACGGUCCAGACUCCUACGGGAGGCAGCAGUGGGGAAUAUUGGACAAUGGGCGCAAGCCUGAUCCAGCCAUACCGCGUGGGUGAAGAAGGCCUUCGGGUUGUAAAGCCCUUUUGUUGGGGAAGAAAAGCAGCAGGUUAAUACCCCGCUGUUCUGACGGUACCCAAAGAAUAAGCACCGGCUAACUUCGUG
rnacentral:rRNA from 1 species